UGUGUUAGUGUAUGUGUGUCUUAGUAUGUGUGUUAGUGUGUGUGUGUGUGUGUUAGUGUAUGUGUGUCUUAGUAUGUGUGUGUUAGUGUGUGUGUCUUAGUAUGUGUGUUAGUAUGUGUGUGUGUUAGUGUGUGUGUAUGUGUGUUAGUGUAUGAGAGUGUGUGUGUGUUAGUGUAUGAGUGUGUGUGUUAGUGUAUGUGUGUGUUAGUGUAUUAGUGUAUGUGUGUGUUAGUGUAUUAGUGUUUGUGUUAGUGCAUGUGUUAGUGUGUGUCAGUGAGUGUGUCUGUUAUUGGGUGUGUGUCUGCUAGUGAGUGUGUUACUGUGUG